GACGAACGCUGGCGGCGCGCCUAACACAUGCAAGUCGAACGGAGCUGAGAGAAGCUUGCUUUUCUUAGCUUAGUGGCGAACGGGUGAGUAACGCGUGAGUAACCUGCCCUGGAGUGGGGGACAACAGUUGGAAACGACUGCUAAUACCGCAUAAGCCCACGAUCCGGCAUCGGAUUGAGGGAAAAGGAUUUAUUCGCUUCAGGAUGGACUCGCGUCCAAUUAGCUAGUUGGUGAGGUAACGGCCCACCAAGGCGACGAUUGGUAGCCGGACUGAGAGGUUGAACGUCCACAUUGGGACUGAGACACGGCCCAGACUCCUACGGGAAGCAGCAGUGGGGGAUAUUGCACAAUGGGGGAAACCCUGAUGCAGCGACGCCGCGUGGAGGAAGAAGGUUUUCGGAUUGUAAACUCCUGUCGUUAGGGACGAUAAUGACGGUACCUAACAAGAAAGCACCGGCUAACUACGUG
rnacentral:rRNA from 1 species